GACGUAGGGCGCGAGCGUUGUCCGGAUUUAUUGGGCGUAAAGGGCGCGUAGGCGGGAUGGCAAGUCGGUCGUGAAAUCCUUCGGCUCAACCGAAGAACGUCGGCCGAUACUGCCGUUCUUGAGGGAUGCAGAGGAGAUUGGAAUUCCCGGUGUAGCGGUGAAAUGUGUAGAGAUCGGGAGGAACACCGGUGGCGAAGGCGGGUCUCUGGGCAUCUCCUGACGCUGAGGCGCGAAAGCGUGGGGAGCAAACGGG
rnacentral:rRNA from 1 species